UACGUAGGGUGCGAGCGUUGUCCGGAAUUAUUGGGCGUAAAGGGCUCGUAGGCGGUUUGUCGCGUCGGGAGUGAAAACCUUGGGCUUAACUCAGGGCUUGCUUUCGAUACGGGCAGACUAGAGGUAUGCAGGGGAGAACGGAAUUCCUGGUGUAGCGGUGAAAUGCGCAGAUAUCAGGAGGAACACCGAUGGCGAAGGCAGAUCUCUGGGCCGUAACUGACGCUGAGGAGCGAAAGCGUGGGGGAGCGAACAGG
rnacentral:rRNA from 1 species